rnacentral:rRNA from 1 species
GCCUACGGGGCGCAGCAGUAGGGAAUUUUCGUCAAUGGGCGCAAGCCUGAACGAGCAAUGCCGCGUGAACGAGGAAGGUCUUCGGACCGUAAAGUUCUGUUGAAGGGGAAAAAGAGCGGAGAGAGGAAAUGGUCUCCGAUUGAUAUUACCCUUCGAGGAAGUCACGGCUAACUACGUGCCGGCAGCCGCGGUAAUACGUAGGUGGCGAGCGUUAUCCGGAAUGAUUGGGCGUAAAGGGUGCGUAGGCGGCCAGCUAAGUCUGGAGUGAAAGGUACCGGCUCAACCGGUACAGGCUCUGGAAACUG